rnacentral:rRNA from 1 species
UAGGGAAUCUUCCGCAAUGGACGCAAGUCUGACGGAGCAACGCCGCGUGAGUGAAGAAGGAUUUCGGUUCGUAAAACUCUGUUGUUAGAGAAGAACAGCGCAUAGAGUAACUGUUAUGCGUGUGACGGUAUCUAACCAGAAAGCCACGGCUAACUACGUGCCAGCAGCCGCGGUAAUACGUAGGUGGCAAGCGUUGUCCGGAUUUAUUGGGCGUAAAGCGAGCGCAGGCGGUCAAUUAAGUCUGAUGUGAAAGCCCCCGGCUCAACCGGGGAGGGUCAUUGGAAACUGGUUGACUUGAGUGCAGAAGAGGAGAGUGGAAUUCCAUGUGUAGCGGUGAAAUGCGUAGAUAUAUGGAGGAACACCAGUGGCGAAGGCGACUCUCUGGUCUGUAACUGACACUGAGGUUCGAAAGCGUGGGUAGCAAACAGG